GUCCCUGUAGCGCGCGCGCGCGCGCAUUGGACUUCUAAUUCAAAGGUCGUAGGUACGAAUCCCACCUGGGAUG